UACGUAGGGGGCUAGCGUUGUCCGGAAUCAUUGGGCGUAAAGCGCGUGUAGGCGGUCCGGUAAGUCCGCUGUGAAAGUCGAGGGCUCAACCCUCGAAUGCCGGUGGAUACUGUCGGGCUAGAGUACGGAAGAGGCGAGUGGAAUUCCUGGUGUAGCGGUGAAAUGCGCAGAUAUCAGGAGGAACACCAAUUGCGAAGGCAGCUCGCUGGGACGUUACUGACGCUGAGACGCGAAAGCGUGGGGAGCGAACGGG
rnacentral:rRNA from 1 species